rnacentral:pre_miRNA from 10 species
UGCUCGGCUGUUCCUAGGGUGUUUCUCUCAUCUCUGGUCUAUAAUGGGUUAAAUAGUAGAGAUGAGGGCAACACCCUAGGAACAGCAGAGGAACC